GACGAACGCUGGCGGCGUGCUUAACACAUGCAAGUCGAACGGUGAAGCGCCUUCCUUUUUGGUGGGUGUGGAUGAGUGGCGAACGGGUGAGUAACACGUGAGUAACCUGCCCCCUUCUUCUGGAUAACCGCAUGAAAGUGUGGCUAAUACGGGAUAUUCUGGUUCUGUCGCAUGAUGGGUCUGGGAAAGAUAUUGUUUCGGUGGGGGAUGGGCUCGCGGCCUAUCAGCUUGUUGGUGGGGUGAUGGCCUACCAAGGCGGUGACGGGUAGCCGGCCUGAGAGGGUGGACGGUCACAAUGGGACUGAGACACGGCACAGACUCCUACGGGAGGCAGCAGUGGGGAAUAGUGCACAAUGGGCGAAAGCCUGAUGCAGCGACGCCGCGUGAGGGAUGGAGGCCUUCGGGUUGUGAACCUCUUUCGCCAGUGAAGCAGGCCUGCCUCGUUUGUGGGUGGGUUGACGGUAGCUGGAUAAGAAGCGCCGGCUAACUACGUG
rnacentral:rRNA from 1 species